CCGUGGUGUAGUGGUUAACAUGCCUGCCUGUCACGCAGGAGAUCGCCGGUUCGAACCCGGUCGGGACCGCCA
rnacentral:tRNA from 1 species